GAUGAACGCUAGCGGCAGGCUUAAUACAUGCAAGUCGUGGGGCAGCGCAGUGUAGCAAUACAUGGGCGGCGACCGGCAAACGGGUGCGGAACACGUACGCAACCUUCCUUUAAGUGGGGGAUAGCCCAGGGAAACUUGGAUUAAUACCCCGUAAUAUUAUGAGGUGGCAUCAUCUUAUAAUUAUAGCUCCGGCGCUUAGAGAUGGGCGUGCGUCUGAUUAGGUAGUUGGCGGGGUAACGGCCCACCAAGCCUACGAUCAGUAACUGGUGUGAGAGCACGACCAGUCACACGGGCACUGAGACACGGGCCCGACUCCUACGGGAGGCAGCAGUAAGGAAUAUUGGUCAAUGGACGCAAGUCUGAACCAGCCAUGCCGCGUGAAGGAUGAAGGUCCUCUGGAUUGUAAACUUCUUUUAUCUGGGAAGAACUCCACGGUUUCUACUGUGGUUGACGGUACCAGACGAAUAAGCACCGGCUAACUCCGUGCCAGCAGCCGCGGUAAUACGGAGGGUGCAAGCGUUAUCCGGAUUCACUGGGUUUAAAGGGUGCGUAGGUGGAUAAGUAAGUCAGUGGUGAAAUCUCCGGGCUUAACCCGGAAACUGCCAUUGAUACUAU
rnacentral:rRNA from 1 species